GUUGAGAGCGCUCUUAGUUCAGUUUGGUAGAACGCGGGUCUCCAAAACCCGAUGUCGUAGGUUCAAAUCCUACAGAGCGUG
rnacentral:tRNA from 1 species